rnacentral:rRNA from 1 species
AUGUUUCCGUUAAUCAAGAACGAAAGUUAGAGGUUCGAAGGCGAUCAGAUACCGCCCUAGUUCUAACCAUAAACGAUGCCAGCCAGCGAUCCGCCGAAGUUCCUCCGAUGACUCGGCGGGCAGCUUCCGGGAAACCAAAGCUUUUGGGUUCCGGGGGAAGUAUGGUUGCAAAGCUGAAACUUAAAGGAAUUGACGGAAGGGCACCACCAGGAGUGGAGCCUGCGGCUUAAUUUGACUCAACACGGGAAACCUCACCAGGCCCGGACACCGGAAGGAUUGACAGAUUGAGAGCUCUUUCUUGAUUCGGUGGGUGGUGGUGCAUGGCCGUUCUUAGUUGGUGGAGCGAUUUGUCUGGUUAAUUCCGGUAACGAACGAGACUCUAGCCUGCUAAAUAGACGAUUUCCGGUAUCCACAAUAGUGCUACCGGCGAAAUCAAUAUCUUCUUAGAGGGACAGGCGGCUUUCAGCCGCACGAAACUGAGCAAUAACAGGUCUGUGAUGCCCUUAGAUGUCCUGGGCCGCACGCGCGCUACACUGAAGGAAUCAGCGUGUACACCCUGGCCGAAAGGCUCGGGCAACCCGUUGAACCUCCUUCGUGCUAGGGAUUGGGGCUUGCAAUUGUUCCCCAUGAACGAGGAAUUCCCAGUAAGCGCGAGUCAUAAGCUCGCGUUGAUUACGUCCCUGCCCUUUGUACACACCGCCCGUCGCUACUACCGAUUGAAUGAUUUAGUGAGGUCUUCGGACUGGUGCGCGGCGGCCGCCUGCGCGGCCGCCGAUGCCACCGGGAAGAUGACCGAACUUGAUCAUUUAGAGGAAGUAAAAGUCGUAACAA